UACGUAGGGCGCAAGCGUUGUCCGGAAUUAUUGAGCGUAAAGAGCUCGUAGGCGGUCUGUCGCGUCUGCCGUGAAAACCCGAGGCUUAACCUCGUGGCUUGCGGUGGAUACGGGCAGACUAGAGGUAGGUGGGGGAGAAUGGAAUUCCCGGUGUAGCGGUGAAAUGCGCAGAUAUCGGGAGGAACACCGGUGGCGAAGGCGGUUCUCUGGGCCUUACCUGACGCUGAGGAGCGAAAGCGUGGGGAGCGAACAGG
rnacentral:rRNA from 1 species